rnacentral:rRNA from 1 species
CCCGAAAAUGGAUGGCGCUGGANGACGGACCGAUGCCNNACCGUCGCGGCGAGGAGCGAAUAUAAACGCGCCUAACCGAUGCCGCGACGAGUAGGAGGGNGCCGCGGUGUGCACGGAAGCCUAGGGCGCNAGCCC